UCGCAUUGAGGUCCCUAACCACCAAGGC
rnacentral:sRNA from 1 species